rnacentral:rRNA from 1 species
AUUGAACGCUGGCGGCAGGCCUAACACAUGCAAGUCGAGCGCCCAGCAAUGGGAGCGGCAGACGGGUGAGUAACACGUGGGGAUCUACCCAAUGGUACGGAAUAACCCAGGGAAACUUGGAUUAAUACCGUAUGUGCCCUUCAGGGGAAAGAUUUAUCGCCAUAGGAUGAACCCGCGUCGGAUUAGCUAGUUGGUGAGGUAAAGGCUCACCAAGGCGACGAUCCGUAGCUGGUCUGAGAGGAUGAUCAGCCACACUGGGACUGAGACACGGCCCAGACUCCUACGGGAGGCAGCAGUGGGGAAUAUUGGACAAUGGGCGCAAGCCUGAUCCAGCCAUGCCGCGUGAGUGAUGAAGGCCUUAGGGUUGUAAAGCUCUUUCGCCGGUGAAGAUAAUGACGGUAACCGGAGAAGAAGCCCCGGCUAACUUCGUGCCAGCAGCCGCGGUAACAC